UAGGGAAUCUUCCGCAAUGGGCGAAAGCCUGACGGAGCAACGCCGCGUGAGUGAUGAAGGUCUUCGGAUCGUAAAACUCUGUUAUUAGGGAAGAACAAAUGUGUAAGUAACUAUGCACGUCUUGACGGUACCUAAUCAGAAAGCCACGGCUAACUACGUGCCAGCAGCCGCGGUAAUACGUAGGUGGCAAGCGUUAUCCGGAAUUAUUGGGCGUAAAGCGCGCGUAGGCGGUUUUUUAAGUCUGAUGUGAAAGCCCACGGCUCAACCGUGGAGGGUCAUUGGAGACUGGAAAACUUGAGUGCAGAAGAGGAUAGUGGAAUUCCAUGUGUAGCGGUGAAAUACGCAGAGAUAUGGCGGAACACCAGUGGCGAAGGCGACUUUCUGGUCUGUAACUGACACUGAUGUGCGAGAGCGUGGGGAUCAAACAGG
rnacentral:rRNA from 1 species